rnacentral:lncRNA from 1 species
CCAAAACUACUUCUGCCGGGGGAAAAGAAAUAAAAGAAAUAGCACGUUCUCUCAAUCCUGCCCAUAAAUUAUGCCAAGUUUGCUAGCCUCUCGCACUUGAAGGCUGGAUCGUAAGAAUACAGGCUCUGUUUGUUUGUUUUAUUUUCCCCUAAAGUUAAAAUACUGGGACCACCAAUGGGAGACUACUGCUUUCAACAGCACGUCCAGGAGGAUGCUCAGCAAAACAAUCCAAGCUUGGCCCUGACGCCACAGCUUGGCACAUCGCUUUUUUCCUCUGGUGGCAAAUAUCUGAAUGGGACAGGGAGAGUGCCACACGUUUGGUACGACAGCCUUUCCCUUUGGAGGAGGAGAAAAACACACACUUCUCACCCGCACGCUAGAAAUCUCCUGGAUUGGCCCGUGAAUUAUGAAAUUAUCUCGAAAACAGAAGAUGAAUCAGAGAUCACACUACACAAAAACAAUUUCUGUAUUUCUGAGAUCACGACUAACAGCCAGCAUUCACCCGCUAACGGCGCCCGAAGCGUGCUGUAAAACUUCACCAUUUCACCCCGGCACCGGCAGCAAUGGCUCUGAGCACAGCUUCUGGCUCCCCCGGCUACCUCCCAGCACGGCAGCUCUGCCGGUGAACACCCAAAACUUCGGGACAAGCCCCCGGAGCCCUCUUCAUUUUUGGGAAAAGGGAAGGGAAGGUGCCGCCCGACCCGGCAGCCAGCUGUGGGUGCAGCAGGGCUGCGCUGAGCUCGCCCACCGCAGGGUGCGGGCUGCGUUUCCUCCUUCCUCCCUCCACCCAGGGCCCCCGGGGCACGCAGGGGCAUCUCCCACCGCAGGACGCUUCAGGCUGGCAGCGGGACCCCCACCCCCCAGCACCGCCGGGGCAGUUUCGGGACAAAACGCUGCAAUACAGCUUCGGGCAGGCGAAGCCCCUCCUGCCGCCGGGCUGUACCUGCAGGCUCCCCCCCCUCCUCCCGGACACCCCACGCGUGAGGCCCACGCAGCCGCGUGUCCCGGGCACCUCGGGAGGGCGAUUUUGGUUAACCCCCCCCCGGCGCCCACCCAAACACCUCCAAACUCCAUCCCUGCCUCCCGCUGCUGCUCGGCAGCCCCCCGCCAGCCCGCAGCAGGCCGCCGUGCCCUCGGGCAGCCCCGCCGGGCGCACGCCCACCCCAGACCCACCCCAGGGACUCUCCCGCGGGCACCCCCCGGGUUUUGGGGGGGUCCCCG